rnacentral:lncRNA from 10 species
GGCAGAGGUGAGCGGUUGACACAGAGCCUGGAGGGUCUGCAAAGCUGAAAAUAUCUACGUCUCCCUUUUUAUGGCUACAGGAGUAGCCAGCCCUCCUCUAUUUGAUGAGCUUCUGUUCUUCUUCAGCCUCAGAAAAAGAGAAACCAGGAAUUUUCUUCCGUCCAAAUCGAGGUUCUCCAUCAACUGCUGCCUAUAGUGGAGCCUGUGCUCCCUUUGCCCUGAGUCUGGGAGAACCUUACUCAUUCACUAAGCUCCGGUGCAGCACUUGCUGGAGGACAAAUUCACAUUAUCUGAUUGGCCUGUGUUCCUCUUGCUGUUUCACCUACCGACACGUUAAAAGGAAUUCUAUCAUUUCCUCAACGGAUUAUUCCUGUCGAGAACCACAACAAGGAAGCUUCCUCUUGAGAUUUCAGCCUGGAAUCCUCAUUGUUCAAAGAUAUGCCAUUACCUUUUAAAUCAUCCCCCGAGAAGUUCCUCUUCUAGCCUUUUAUUUAUGGAAUUUCAAUGCUUGGAAAUGGUGAUCACCUCCUCCCAGGGUUUUCUGCCACAUGGCUUUCAUACUUGAGCUCUUUUCAUCUUUUCCCUGAAAGAAGCUCUAUGUUAAAUGACUGAAGGGAAACAGAAGGGAAUAUGUAACAAAAUAUAUACAGGAGCAGCCCCGGGGUGGCUUUCCAUGCUGAGUGUUCUAUUACAUUAAUCCUGGCACACAAAAAAUGCGACAGCCACAUGGAUAUCAAUAUGCCUGCAUUGUUUGUCUUCCAUCGGCCCUCUCUGUACACAGGCAUGCAUUUCCCUCGAGCAAUGAUCAGGCUGAGAAAGUGAUUUCAUUUACAUUGCAAAGGAGACAGAAAAACAAACAGAAAACCCAGAGGCCACGACUUCCCGGGAGUGCUCCAGAGUGUGUGUAUUGCUAGUAGAAGCUAUGUGCACCUCCACACCCCGGAACUAUUUUUGAAGCUUUGAUGUAGAAACGCACAAUACCUACAGCGACCUUAAAUUUCUGUAAAACAAAUAUAGCAUGCAUUGAUGCAAUUGCCAUAUAUUUAUAGAAUUCAACAAUUGCCUUCCACCAACUUUAUCAAAUAUCUGCUGCAUGGGGGCGGUGCUAGGACAGAAACAUAAACAGCUCUGAUUGGUCCAUUAUGCAGACGAAGCACAUGCUUCAAGGACCAGAAAAGCAGAGAGAACACCGUGCUCCUGCCUUACUGGCCAAAUGAUGCAACAAGAAAAUUCAGGAAAGUUAAUUUAAGUUUCAACAUACAGAUUUUUUUGUCCCUUGGAAGACACAGUUUUAAGUUUUAGUUGAGUUUUGUUUUCAUUUUUAUUUGGGUACAGGUCUUGGGAUAGUUCGGAUUUGUGUUCAGAAAAUUUUUACUCCUCCACACUUUGGAGGAAUACCCUUCCCUGACUUAGGGAUGUUGGACUUGGCCAUGUGACUAUUGGCCAGUAAGAUGUUAGCAAGCAUGAUGCCAUCAAGGUCACUGUGGAUUUGCACAGUGGGCCUGGCUCUCCUGCACUUCCAACAUUGCCUUGAGAUGCAUACACAUGCCUGCGUCCAAGGAAGAUGGAAGACACCUGGAGCAAACUUGGACUCAGCCCAUAACUUGAAGCCCAGCCCGGACCACCCCAGGUCAUCUAAACCCCAGCUAAUUUGCAAAUGUUUAUGUGAGAAUAAAUAAUUACCAUUUUAAGCCAC